rnacentral:rRNA from 1 species
AAAUUGAAGAGUUUGAUCAUGGCUCAGAUUGAACGCUGGCGGCAGGCCUAACACAUGCAAGUCGAACGGUAACAGGAAGCAGCUUGCUGCUUCGCUGACGAGUGGCGGACGGGUGAGUAAUGUCUGGGAAACUGCCUGAUGGAGGGGGAUAACUACUGGAAACGGUGGCUAAUACCGCAUAACGUCGCAAGACCAAAGAGGGGGACCUUCGGGCCUCUUGCCAUCAGAUGUGCCCAGAUGGGAUUAGCUUGUUGGUGAGGUAACGGCUCACCAAGGCGACGAUCCCUAGCUGGUCUGAGAGGAUGACCAGCCACACUGGAACUGAGACACGGUCCAGACUCCUACGGGAGGCAGCAGUGGGGAAUAUUGCACAAUGGGCGCAAGCCUGAUGCAGCCAUGCCGCGUGUAUGAAGAAGGCCUUCGGGUUGUAAAGUACUUUCAGCGGGGAGGAAGGUGUUGUGGUUAAUAACCGCAGCAAUUGACGUUACCCGCAGAAGAAGCACCGGCUAACUCCGUGCCAGCAGCCGCGGUAAUACGGAGGGUGCAAGCGUUAAUCGGAAUUACUGGGCGUAAAGCGCACGCAGGCGGUCUGUCAAGUCGGAUGUGAAAUCCCCGGGCUCAACCUGGGAACUGCAUUCGAAACUGGCAGGCUUGAGUCUUGUAGAGGGGGUAGAAUUCCAGGUGUAGCGGUGAAAUGCGUAGAGAUCUGGAGGAAUACCGGUGGCGAAGGCGGCCCCCUGGACAAAGACUGACGCUCAGGUGCGAAAGCGUGGGGAGCAAACAGGAUUAGAUACCCUGGUAGUCCACGCCGUAAACGAUGUCUACUUGGAGGUUGUGCCCUUGAGGCGUGGCUUCCGGAGCUAACGCGUUAAGUAGACCGCCUGGGGAGUACGGCCGCAAGGUUAAAACUCAAAUGAAUUGACGGGGGCCCGCACAAGCGGUGGAGCAUGUGGUUUAAUUCGAUGCAACGCGAAGAACCUUACCUGGUCUUGACAUCCACAGAAGAAUCCAGAGAUGGAUUUGUGCCUUCGGGAACUGUGAGACAGGUGCUGCAUGGCUGUCGUCAGCUCGUGUUGUGAAAUGUUGGGUUAAGUCCCGCAACGAGCGCAACCCUUAUCCUUUGUUGCCAGCGGUUAGGCCGGGAACUCAAAGGAGACUGCCAGUGAUAAACUGGAGGAAGGUGGGGAUGACGUCAAGUCAUCAUGGCCCUUACGACCAGGGCUACACACGUGCUACAAUGGCGCAUACAAAGAGAAGCGACCUCGCGAGAGCAAGCGGACCUCAUAAAGUGCGUCGUAGUCCGGAUUGGAGUCUGCAACUCGACUCCAUGAAGUCGGAAUCGCUAGUAAUCGUGGAUCAGAAUGCCACGGUGAAUACGUUCCCGGGCCUUGUACACACCGCCCGUCACACCAUGGGAGUGGGUUGCAAAAGAAGUAGGUAGCUUAACCUUCGGGAGGGCGCUUACCACUUUGUGAUUCAUGACUGGGGUGAAGUCGUAACAAGGUAACCGUAGGGGAACCUGCGGUUGGAUCACCUCCUUACCUUAAAGAA